GGCAGUGGUAGCUUAGCGGUUAAGGUGUCGUACUAUUGAUCGGAGGGUCGUAAGUUCAAAUCCCAGCUCUACCA